rnacentral:rRNA from 1 species
CCUACGGGUGGCAGCAGUGGGGAAUAUUGGACAAUGGGCGAAAGCCUGAUCCAGCCAUGCCGCGUGUGUGAAGAAGGUCUUCGGAUUGUAAAGCACUUUAAGUUGGGAGGAAGGGUUGUAGAUUAAUACUCUGCAAUUUUGACGUUACCGACAGAAUAAGCACCGGCUAACUUCGUGCCAGCAGCCGCGGUAGUACGAAGGGUGCAAGCGUUAAUCGGAAUUACUGGGCGUAAAGCGCGCGUAGGUGGUUCGUUAAGUUGGAUGUGAAAGCCCCGGGCUCAACCUGGGAACUGCAUCCAAAACUGGCGAGCUAGAGUACGGUAGAGGGUGGUGGAAUUUCCUGUGUAGCGGUGAAAUGCGUAGAUAUAGGAAGGAUCACCAGUGGCGAAGGCGACCACCUGGACUGAUACUGACACUGGGGUGCGAAAGCGUGGGGAGCAAACAGGAUUAGAUACCCGGGUAGUC